UACAGGGAGGGCAAGCGUUGUUCGGAAUUACUGGGCGUAAAGGGUCUGUAGGUGGCCAACUAAGUCAGACGUGAAAUCCCUCAGCUUAACUGGGGAACUGCGUCUGAUACUGGAUGGCUUGAGUGUGGGAGAGGAAUGCGGAAUUCCAGGUGUAGCGGUGAAAUGCGUAGAUAUCUGGAGGAACACCGGUGGCGAAGGCGGCAUUCUGGACCAUAACUGACACUGAGAGACGAAAGCCAGGGGAGCAAACGGG
rnacentral:rRNA from 1 species